GAUGAACGCUGGCGGCGUGCCUAAUACAUGCCAGUCGAGCGAACAGACGAGGAGCUUGCUCCUCUGACGUUAGCGGCGGACGGGUGAGUAACACGUGGAUAACCUACCUAUAAGACUGGGAUAACUUCGGGAAACCGGAGCUAAUACCGGAUAAUAUAUUGAACCGCAUGGUUCAAUAGUGAAAGCCGGUUUUGCUGUCACUUCUAGAUGGAUCCGCGCCGCAUUAGCUAGUUGGUAAGGUAACGGCUUACCAAGGCAACGAUGCGUAGCCGACCUGAGAGGGUGAUCGGCCACACUGGAACUGAGACACGGGCCAGACUCCUACGGGAGGCACCGGUAGGGAAUCUUCCGCAAUGGGCGGAAGCCUAACGGAGCAACGCCGCGUGAGUGAUGAAGGUCUUCGGAUCGUAAAACUCUGUUAUUAGGGAAGAACAAAUGUGUAAGUAACUAUGCACGUCUUGACGGUACCUAAUCAGAAAGCCACGGCUAACUACGUG
rnacentral:rRNA from 1 species